AUCAAUCAGGACACUCCAGCAGAGGGCCAGCAGCGUGCAAGCUGACCGUGGCUGAGAGAGACGCAUAAAGAGGGCCGGUGGGCGGUGGAUUGAUUUCUUUUGUGAAUCGGACGCAGUUGAAAGGACGGCACUUCAAACGCGACCUUUUAAGUCAUCCUUUUCGCCACAGCUCUUUCCCACCGCCGCGGGUCAGAGGUCACGCAGGCCGCAGCAAACACAGAGAAGGAAGCCCUGGCCCGACAGAGGAAGAGACGGGAUGAAACACAGUAAAUCACAUGGACGGGUCGACUUCAUCCUUUCACACCUCAAUGUGUCGCAUAGGGAGGAACGUUGGGAAUGGACGUGAUUCUCCUCCAUGAACACGUGCUCAGAGGGCGGUACGGGAGCUCAAGGGGUGAACAGUGGCCUCGACCAGAAUUUUAUUGCCGGCCUACGUGGAUGUUUUAUGAAAAGCAAAUAAUUCAGUCUUUGUGAAGAAUGAAAAGUGCUCACUUAUCUAACAAUGUGAAGCAUUUCCAUAUUUAUUAAGUUUAUACACGUGUGA